rnacentral:lncRNA from 1 species
UGCAGUGUCAGUUGGAGCAGAGAGGAUCGAUGUGUGGCUUUAUGUUUUGGGAUUGCUGAGUUUUUUUUGAUUCUUUAUGUGCUUUGCUUUAGACUUGUUUCCCUUAGUUUUCUUUUAUUGCUAAACAUUUAAAGUGAAUCAGUGUUUUUGGAAAAGGAGUUACACAAGUAUUCAGGUCCAGUCUCACCUUCUCAGCAGCUUUUCAUUUGUUCCUGAAGUUGCUAAAAUUUGCCAACAAAAAUUCAUCUACAGAAGAAUCUCUACAUGGAGCAUGGCGUCAAGGAUGGAGAGGUUUAAAGUUAACAAAUAUGGAUCCAGACACGGAGCACCUCACAAGGAAGGCACACACCCUCAUCAAGAGCUGCUCUAUGGCCACAGAAUCUGGUCAGGAGAAGAGAUUUUCCAGGGCCUACUCCCCUGGGUUCAGGAGGGUGAAGUUGAACAGAUACAUCCUAAUGCAGUUUAUGAACACAUGACUGGUUAUCAUGUCUUCAACUCGCACUGA